UCCACCAUUUGAAAAUACGCAAGGUACAUAUACAGAAUAAAAUAAAAGAAGAAUAGCAUUUCAUGGUGGAGGGAAACGCUGAAAAACCAGUACUGGUUAUCGAGCAGCGACACCCUAGGUGGGGUCUAACACAGCAUGACGAAAUAACAUGAAAUAGAAAGCUUAAAACGAAUAUGAAUGAAAAAGCAAAAUAAUCACACUAAAUAAAAUUGUAUAUUGGAAACGUUCAAGUAUCCAGCGGAUUUUCGGGAAAUCCAGAGUCUCUCGUUAAUAUGAAAAUAGACUCCAAGCACCAUCGAGGUAACCACGGCAACUGCUCAGCUGAAGCACUGGCUGCGGGCGAGUGUACAGUUAACGUCAAACCUGAUAGCCGGAAGGAUGUCGGUAUUGCAGUAGGAAAUUAAAGAUUCUAUUCAAUGGAUUGGACAAUAAAUAACAGGUAUUAAAGACCCAACAGCUUGAAAUGUGGUCAAAUGUUGAGCUGACAAUAGCAAGAAUACAAGACUCAGACAUGAUAUCAACUGGAAGAUGUGGCGGCACCGGAUUGUGGCUGUGUUGGUUUGUAGAGUUAUCAAAUUCUUCGCGCUAUUGAGAAGGCAAGCAUCGUCAGCGAACAAUUUGCUUAAAAGAUUUGAUGAGUUCGAUAAAUCAUUUAUGUAUAAUAAAAAUUCAAGAGCACCCAACACAGA